rnacentral:lncRNA from 1 species
AAAGUGCUACUUUACAGGCAGAACAAAAUUGGCUUAUAUUCUACCUACCCCAUAUCCUUCUGCCAAAUAUACGAACCUCUCUGUGUGUGUAGUUUGACCAUCAUUCUCGACCAAGUCUUAUUCAAAGUUGUAGUUUCCUUUAUGGAUAGGUAACCAAAGUUAGAGUUGUACAAUUUAUCGCUUAAUUGAAAAGAGGAAAUUCCUCGACCAGUUCUCUUCUUCCCUUAGAGUAUUUCAUUCAACAAGCAAGCAGUGCGAUCGCAUUUUCAAAGGUCAAACUCGAGCUAGCCAUAAUCCUCAGUAUAGUUGUGUUUCAAGAGAAUCGGCUCAGGUAUGUUAAGGUUAUGCUUUUCCUUCAUUUUGGCAUGAUCUCUUCAUUACACAAGUUUGAUAACGAGGCAUAAAGAAAAAUUCAUAUCCCGGAAUUUACGUAUAUUUUUCUAGUUUUGUAAGUUACAAUAUUCUCCUUAUCGGGACUUCAUAUUCAUUUGAGUAUUUCCCUCUUCCAGUCAAGAGAGCAGAGAGCUUAUAUAUAUAGUAUUAAAAAUAUUUUUAUUACCAUCGAGCUAUAAUCGAUGGGCAGACCCCUAUUGGGCAACCUCUGAUCAGGUGGUAAGUUAUAUACCGAGCCUACUAUGGCCGAGCGCCUAUGAGCGAGCCUAGCAUGGCUGAGAUACAGAGCCUAGUAUGGCCGAGUGCCUAUGAGCGAGCCUACUACGGAAGAGCAGUUAUAUAUAUACCGAGCCUUAUAUAGCCGAACAACUAUUUUACUUGCUAGAUUGAGAGACUUGAGUCAGUAUCAACAGGUAAGCAUAUUUUCAGAUUUUCUUUGGCUUCCAGCUACUUGCAGUUAUUAUAUUAUCAGUUUAGUUUUAGCUUUCAGUAUAUUGCGUUACAUACUUGGUACAUUAUUCCGUACUAACGUCCCUUUUGCCUGGGGACGUUGCGUUUCAUGCCCACAGGUACAGACAAUCAGUUUGACGAGCCCUCAUUGUAAACAAGAUUGGCAUUUAGUGAAGGAUUGGUAAGACUCCACCUCAUUCGGAGUGCAACCGAGUCUAUGAGUCAUCAUGUCAGAGUUUUACUACACACUUAUGGGUCAGCCGGUACCCUAUCCCAUUUUAUGUCAAAUAAUCUUAGAGGCUUUGUAGACAUAGAAAUUCAUUUUGUAUAGUAUGUCAGAGUCCUUGACGGCCC